GACGAACGCUGGCGGCGUGCUUAACACAUGCAAGUCGAACGGAAAGGCCCUGCUUUUGUGGGGUGCUCGAGUGGCGAACGGGUGAGUAACACGUGAGUAACCUGCCCUUGACUUUGGGAUAACUUCAGGAAACUGGGGCUAAUACCGGAUAGGAGCUCCUGCUGCAUGGUGGGGGUUGGAAAGUUUCGGCGGUUGGGGAUGGACUCGCGGCUUAUCAGCUUGUUGGUGGGGUAGUGGCUUACCAAGGCUUUGACGGGUAGCCGGCCUGAGAGGGUGACCGGGCCCACAUGGGGUGUGAUACGGCCCCGACUCUCACGGGGGGGGCCGGUGUGGGAUAUUUCGCACUGGGCGGAAGCCUGAUGCGGCAACGCCCCGUGUGGGGUAACGGCCCUCGGGUUGUAAACCGCUUUCGCCCGUGUGGAAGCGUGAGUGUCGGUAAUGGGUAUAGAAGCACAGGGUAACUACGUG
rnacentral:rRNA from 1 species